rnacentral:lncRNA from 1 species
AGGAGGACGCCAGGACUGCGUCCCGGAGCCAAGUGCGGGAGGCGCGCAGGGCCGGCGGCGCGCGGAGAAAUGAGCAGAUUUGCAGAAAAACUGGUGUCCUGAAAUUUAAAACUAAGGCAUCGGUGCUGGCUCUGGCUGAGAACAUGGCCAAUGACAUUGAUGAGCUCAUUGGCAUUCCCUUCCCCAACCACAGCAGUGAGGUCCUGUGCAGCCUCAA